rnacentral:rRNA from 1 species
GAUGAACGCUGGCGGCGUGCCUAAUACAUGCAAGUCGAGCGAACAGACGAGGAGCUUGCUCCUCUGACGUUAGCGGCGGACGGGUGAGUAACACGUGGAUAACCUACCUAUAAGACUGAGAUAACUUCGGGAAACCGGAGCUAAUACCGGAUAAUAUAUUGAACCGCAUGGUUGAAUAGUGAAAGAUGGUUUUGCUGUCACUUAUAGAUGGAUCAGCGCCGCAUUAGCGAGUUGGUAAGGUAACGGCUUAACGAGGCGACGAUGCGUAGCCGAGCUGAGAGGGUGAACGGCCACACUGAAAGUGAGACACGGUCCAGACUCCUACGUGAGGCAGAAGUAGGGACUCUUCGGCAAUGUGCGAAAGCCUGACGGAUCAACGCCGCGUGAAUGAUGAAGGUCUUCGGAUCGUAUAACUCUGUUAUUAGGGAAGAACAAAUGUGUAAGUAACUAUGCACGUCUUGACGGUACCUAAUCAGAAAGCCACGGCUAACUACGUG